rnacentral:rRNA from 1 species
UACGAAGGGGGCUAGCGUUGCUCGGAAUCACUGGGCGUAAAGGGUGCGUAGGCGGGUUUUUAAGUCAGGGGGGAAAUCCUGGAGCUCAACUCCAGAACUGCCUUUGAUACUGAAGAUCUCGAGUCCGGGAGAGGUGAGUGGAACUGCGAGUGUAGAGGUGAAAUUCGUAGAUAUUCGCAAGAACACCAGUGGCGAAGGCGGCUCACUGGCCCGGUACUGACGCUGAGGCACGAAAGCGUGGGGAGCAAACAGG